rnacentral:rRNA from 1 species
AUUGAACGCUGGCGGCAUGCUUUACACAUGCAAGUCGAACGGUAACAGGGUGCUUGCACCGCUGACGAGUGGCGAACGGGUGAGUAAUGCGUCGGAACGUGCCGAGUAGUGGGGGAUAACGCAUCGAAAGGUGUGCUAAUACCGCAUACGUACUGAGGUAGAAAGUGGGGGACCUUCGGGCCUCACGCUAUUCGAGCGGCCGACGUCUGAUUAGCUAGUUGGUGAGGUAAAGGCUCACCAAGGCGACGAUCAGUAGCGGGUCUGAGAGGAUGAUCCGCCACACUGGGACUGAGACACGGCCCAGACUCCUACGGGAGGCAGCAGUGGGGAAUUUUGGACAAUGGGCGCAAGCCUGAUCCAGCCAUGCCGCGUGUCUGAAGAAGGCCUUCGGGUUGUAAAGGACUUUUGUCCGGGAGCAAAUACCCAGUGCUAAUAACGCUGGGGGCUGAGAGUACCGGAAGAAUAAGCACCGGCUAACUACGUGCCAGCCGCCGCGGUAA